rnacentral:rRNA from 1 species
GACGAACGCUGGCGGCGUGCUUAACACAUGCAAGUCGAACGGAAAGGCCUCUUUCGGGGGGUACUCGAGUGGCGAACGGGUGAGUAACACGUGAGUAACCUGCCCUUGACUUUGGGAUAACUUCAGGAAACUGGGGCUAAUACCGGAUAGGAGCUCCUGCUGCAUGGUGGGGGUUGGAAAGUUUCGGCGGGUGGGGGUGGACUCGCGGCGUAUCAGCUUGUUGGUGGGGUAUUGGCUUACCAAGGCUUUGGCGGGUAUCCGGCCUGAGAGGGUGACCGGCCACAUUGGGACUGAGAUACGGCCCAGACUCCUACGGGAGGCAGCAGGGGGGAAUAUUGCACAAUGGGUGGGAGCCUGAUGCAGCAACGCCGUGGGCGGGAUGACGGCCUUCGGGUUGUAAACCGCUUUCGCUCAUGACGAAGCUUUGUGUGACGGUAGUGGGUAAAGAAGCACCGGCUAACUACGUG